GGCAAAAACAUUUUUUAUUUACCCUUGGCAAAUAAAAAACCCUUAAGGGUUGUGUUUGUGGCUUCUCUUUGUGCUGUUUGUGACCUCUUUUGUGCUUAUUCUUUCGUUUUAUCUUGCUGUUUUUGACUUGGGUUUAAUGUUCCUUGUUUCUUUUAUCUAUUUUGUAAGUUGCUUUGAGACACUUUGGUGUAAAAAAUAACAACAACAACAAAAACAGCUGUUCCAACUUCAUCGGCAGUAAAUUGUCAGUGUAGUUUGAAAGGUGGCUCCUGAUGACCCUUUGGCUCUCCAGAUGUUGUAUGACAACUCCCUUCAUCCCUGACCACAGGCGACACUGGCUGGAGCUGAUGGGAGCACCGGCGGAGCAAGCCAGGUGGGCACCUGGGGUGGUGCACGUGCCCUGCGCCCAGGGGUGGG